UGGGCAUCAGAGGCCGCCUCCAGGCCAAUCGCGGCUCGGGACGGGUCCUGACGGACGGUGACACGCAGGCUGUGCGGCCAAUGGCGGUGCCGGGGGAGUGGCCACGCAGCCGGCCCCGGGAGCAGCAGCCCGGCCAUGGCGGUUCGUUCCGCCGCUGCUGCCGGAGCGCCGCUGCCACGGGCGGUUCCUGCGGCUGCAGCGGCUGCGCGGGGCGGGGCGGGGGCCCGGGGGUGCGGCCCCGCCGGCCGGUGCCGGGCGGUCGCCGUGUUGCCCUCGGGCAGCAGGGGGGGUGGGUCCCGUUGAUCCCCCCCGCGCAGUUCCGCGGUUGAGAAUCCUCCUCAGCAACGCGCCGGGACCGCGAUCGCCGCCGGUUCCGUCCCGGCAAAAGUAACUCCAAACACUGAUGCCGUCCCAGUUCUGGUGCAAGAGGAAGCCGUGGAAACCAUCUUCAUGCGACUCAUUAGCUGACGUCCCUUCCCGGCCGUUUUGCUGCAGGUCACCAGACUAUCGACACCUCUGGAUUGGUCACGGACCUGAUGGGAGCCGAGGGAAAACGGAAAGGGAAGGUUGGAUCCCGUGGGAAAUGGGGACAAGAAUCAAGGACCGCGCUACUGCUGAUCCUCUUCAUCACUCGUUGUGAGGAAGGUGCCUGAGGGAGAAGAGAGAACAGCCACCGAUGUCCCCCAGCGCAAGAUGGACAAUGGUUCCUGGGGCAAAGAGGUGAUCUAGGGCAUGUGGAAAGGAAAAGAUCCCGAAAACAUGACAGCCCCAAGAUGCCACAUCCAGUGUGCAGCUUCCCCCGAGCUUCCUCCCAGCUGUGGUCAGCGGCUUCUCCUUCAUUAUCAGCCCUUCCUGCCCCACUGAUUGCCCAGCUCGUGUCAGAUGGCUGGAGAAGGUGGUUCAGAAACACCGGGCAGGACAAGGCCAGCAGGCAGCUCGCUGCUCUCCUGGAGAGGCCGCCACGGAGCCCUGAGAAGCCCCUGGGUCAUGUGCCGUGAUGGUCACAGCCUCGUGAUGCUUCUGGGUACUCUUGGCCUCUUGGCCACAAGGACACAUUGGUGACUUGUGGCCAACCUGAUGUCAACCAGAACUCCCAAGUCCUUCUCCGCAGAGCUGCUUUCCAGUGGGUCCACCCUCAAACUGUACUGGUACUGGACCCCCGUCUGUCCCAGGAGAUAUUCCAUGCCACUAACAUGGUGCUUAUCACCUCCUUGCACUCGUUGUCUCAACGCCGAUCUCUCCUGGCUUUCCUCCAGCUGCUGCCGUUGGCUGUGUCCUCUGUGGACCCCUUUUACCCCCUGCGCUCUCCACAGACCCCAGUUACCAUUUCUGUUAUGAAGGGGAACAUCUCACUUUUCUGUGCAUGGCCAAGACGAUGAGGAAAAUUGGCAGAUUUUGGUUCUUCAAUCAAACUGGGGAGCAAAUCGACCUGCGAUCACUGUACCCCCUCCUGACUGCCCGGCUGCAGCUCACAGCUACAAAAGUGUCUGCUGGCGAGUGCUCAUACAUGUACUUCAUGGAGGACUCUGGACAGGAAAUCCCUUCCAAGCGGAGCUUUCCUCUCACCGUUGAGGUUCAGGGUAGGCUGGUCUCGUCUUACGACUCAGCUGCAAUUGGAGCUGAUACCACGUGCCUCCCUGGAGAGCGUCAUCUUGGCUGAUGGCCUUGUCCUUGGGUCACCAGUGGACACAUGGAGCUGCUCUGGCCUCUCACAAGCUUUUGUGCUCCUGGAUUGCUCUGCGAAAGCAGGAAUUUGUUGGCCUGACGGCUGUGUCAGCUCCAGGAAAACUUCCAGCAGGGUUUGGGGUAUAUUACUUGCCUUCUUACUUUGGGCAUGUGAAAAUACUUAUUUUCUGCACUUCAGUGAAUGGAAAGAAACCGUGGAAGCUACGCUGAGCUCUGAGAUCCAGGGGCUGUUUUUUCUCUGCCCUUAGACAGAGACGCAAAUGACCCCCACACCCUGUUUUGUCAUUCAAGGCUCCCUAUUUGCCUCAAUAGUAAUCAGAAAAAGAGUAAGCUGAUUUUCUAGGCUGAGUCAUGACACUGGCUUUGUGCACAGGUCCUGGUGUCAAUGCGCAGCCAGUUUUUUGUAUUCUGUGUUGCAUUAUGUUGGUUUGUUGUGUAGUUUUUGGUUUUUUUCAUUUUUUUUCCAGCUGCUCCCGUGGCCCCAACUUUUUCCCUGGAUCCUCAACAGCAGGUUUAUAGAAACAGGAACUCCAUCAAGCUCCUCUGGUCCAUCCCCAUGUCUCUGGAUUAUGUCAGAGAAGUCCCAAACUACACUGACUUUGGACUUGCCGUCUCCAUCCCAGUGUCAAACCUGAAAAACUGCAACUACGAUCUCCGGCUGACGGGAGAUAACUCACGGGCUCUUACAGUUGUGCCUAUUUUGUGUACAAAUCUGCUCGUCCCAUUGGCUCAGAGAGAAGCCACUUGUGUGGACAAGCACAGGCACGUCACAAGAAGAGCCGGAGGCCACGAAUGCAAUUGCAAAGAGCAAGUUUUAUUUUAGUUACCUCUCUACUGGGGGAUCUCCAAAGCCACACCUAAGCUCCCAGGCAGAGGUGACACCAGCGGGGAUGCAGGCGCUGAUAAGUUUAGCCCUGCUGGAAGGUCGUUAGGCCGGCUGCGCUCGUCUGUGUUUAAAGGCUUAGAGCAGAUGCAGCCUCUUGCUGUGCUCUGCUCUUUCUCAAAACAAAGCAGGAAUCUCAGACAUGAUAAGGUACCGUAGGGUUUCCCUCAGGCCUGUGUUAUCUCACACAGAGGUUCUACUUGUCAAGCACACAAGGUCAGUAGAACAAUUAAUGUGAUGUAUGUGCUUUCUUUAUACCCCAGCUGCGGGUCACUUGAGCGUGUUUACCUUUCUCCUCCUCGCCCAAUCUUCUGCAAUUCCCAUGCAUUCCACCCCCUCGCCCAAGGGACCAUCUCUGCUGGGGCCAGAAUGACCAGAGGUGUUCACUUGGGCGUGUAAAGUUCAGAACAGAACAAUUUACAGAGAUACCCAACAAACACAUAUACAUAUAUAAAGAGAGAAAAGGAACAAAUAUAUGUGUGCAAUGAUAGGUUGCAUCUGGCAUCCCGUCUAUCUUCUCAAGGAAUGAGAUGAGUCUUUCGGCCAGGCACUGUCAGUGGAUUGCUUCAUUUGAUGUGUCAGUCCCACAAGUAUUUAGGUGUUAUCUUCCAUUCUGACUAGUUCAUUAGCUGUCUUGAAGCAGCACUUGCCUUAAAAAAUCAGGGCAGCAUCUUCAGCCACUACCUACCCAAGGCUAAAGAACAAUGAGAAACAUUAGUGUGAAAAAAACAACCCAAACAAAACCCCUUGGCAUAAUACAUAUCUGUAGCAGAGCUAUUGCGUUACUAAAUGACAGUAAGAGAUCUGCAGCUGUUAGUCUUGUGGAGGUGUGUCCUGCAUAUUAUACUUGUAACAUAGGGUUACAAGCCAUGACGAGAAUCUCUGAUAAGUGAGGAAAACAGGGGCAUCUUCUCCUUCCAGUAAUACAUACACUGUUGCUCCAGCUCCUUCAGCUAGUAUUACUCCAGGCUUGACAACCUGGUGUGGGGUAAUUACCCACACAGACUGGAAAGCCAUGGCCUGUGCUUUCUCAGAUUGAACUUCAACAUGACGUUGGGUCUGCCACACAAGUAACACCGUUCCAAUGCUGUCUCCUCUAGACAAAGCACAAGUAGUCAUUGAAGAUACCUGAAAUACAAGAACUCGAGAGUCCGAUAUUAGCAAAGGAUGCAACAUAAGAGGAGAAGUCAGAGGACACAACCAUACACCAUUCUCAGGAAUUAUUAUGUGGACUUUCACAUCCAGAUUAAUAGGUCACAGUCCCACUUCGCAAUCCAUCGGGGUGAAUAAUUCCGUUUCCCCUGUAGUUAGUAUUUUGGAAGAAAUGCCAUCUGGAAGGAUUUCAGUCUGCACCAUGUUUUGCACUGGGGGUGUUGCGAUGCGAUCACAGGGUGUUUGAUUAUGGAUAUUCCGACUGUUCAGCAAAAAAACUGCUUUAGUCAGAUGUGGGCUCCAAUGUUGCAAAGUUUUAGUACUGGUUAGUUUCUUCAGUUGUUCCUUCAACAUCCCGUUCAUCCUUUCAAUUAAACCAUUGGCCUGGGGAUGAUAUGCAAUGUGGAACAACCAGUCUAUCCCUAACCCUUGAGCCCAGUCUUGUGAAUUACAUCCACUAAAGCAUGUCCCUUGGUCA